CUUUCAGUGUAGAACGCAAGGAAAGCGAGUUCAAACAAAAAUAUUUGUUACGUAAAUUGAUUCUUCGAGCGAUCAAACAAAACGCGAAUGGAACCAGGUUCCUUUUCUGGCUAUAUAAAUAUUUCUUGUUCAUGACAUAACUUCAAAUUAGUAUGUCCGACUGCAAUGUUAUAUCGGCGUAACAGAUUCGUGGAAAUAAUUCUAGUCACAGUUUUUGGAGUCGGUGGAGGAUUCUACAUUUUCCAGCCAUCCUUUAAACAGUAUCAAAUCGAGCAAAGCAGAACCAAACUAGCAACAGAUAACUUCAAUCCACAACAGAAAUAAUUGUAGUCAGCUAGUCAAGAUGUCAAAAUUGAUUAACAUGAUCCGUAUGUUGAAGCAUACACCGGCAGGUUAUCUGGGUGCUGCAAUUGUUAUAACGGGAUCGUUCACGCUUCUCUACAAAAAAGUUUAUGAGCCACAUGUUGCACAAAAGCGUCGUGUCGAGUCAGAGUUAAUAGCUGAUUACCUAUUUCGUAAAGAACAGAUGGCACGCGGCCUUAGUGUACCAGAGGAAGGUACCAUCAUUGACAGAUAGGAGUUCAAGCAAUGUUACUUCGAUAAUCUGGAAUAAUUUCGAGAUUCAUCUGGAGUAUCAUUAAAAAAAAUUCCAUUGCUUUAGAUCAA